UAACUCACCUGGCAGGGGAGACACCAUAUUUCAAAGGUGGUUUUCCCAGGGCAAGGCUUAUCCAUUGUACUCCAGAUGUGCUGACCCCUGUGAUUUCCCCAAAUGUGGGGAAACUCAACUGUGUAAUUUGUGGUGGUGGGGGGGGGCUGUGUUCACAGUCUCCCCUU